rnacentral:rRNA from 1 species
AAAUUGAAGAGUUUGAUCAUGGCUCAGAUUGAACGCUGGCGGCAGGCCUAACACAUGCAAGUCGAACGGUAACAGGAAGCAGCUUGCUGCUUUGCUGACGAGUGGCGGACGGGUGAGUAAUGUCUGGGAAACUGCCUGAUGGAGGGGGAUAACUACUGGAAACGGUGGCUAAUACCGCAUAAUGUCGCAA